GAGCUAUUUAUGAGUUAGUUAUGUAAAUUCAUGCCUUAAAUUUUUAACUAUUGAAAAUAUGAAUUGACAUUUCUACUAACUCAAAGGAUGUAUCGCAGACACAAUGUACACAAUGUGAUAGAAGAAUAACCCAUUUAUUGAUUUAUAGUCAAAAUUACAAAUUUAUCUUUAGAUUUGUACAGAAAUGUAUCAGCCAAUAUGGCAUCUAGGGCACACAUCUAACAGUGACAAUCCAG
rnacentral:lncRNA from 1 species